rnacentral:tRNA from 1 species
AUCAAGUUAGUUUAAAUAAAACAUUAGGAUGUGGGCCUAUUAAUAAAGAAAAAUCUUUACUUGAUA